AUUGAACGCUGGCGGCAUGCUUUACACAUGCAAGUCGAACGGUAACAGGCCGCAAGGUGCUGACGAGUGGCGAACGGGUGAGUAAUGCAUCGGAACGUGCCCAGUCGUGGGGGAUAACGCAGCGAAAGCUGUGCUAAUACCGCAUACGAUCUAUGGAUGAAAGCGGGGGACCGUAAGGCCUCGCGCGAUUGGAGCGGCCGAUGUCAGAUUAGGUAGUUGGUGGGUAAAGGCCCACCAAGCCAACGAUCUGUAGCUGGUCUGAGAGGACGACCAGCCACACUGGGACUGAGACACGGCCCAGACUCCUACGGGAGGCAGCAGUGGGGAAUUUUGGACAAUGGGCGCAAGCCUGAUCCAGCAAUGCCGCGUGCAGGAAGAAGGCCUUCGGGUUGUAAACUGCUUUUGUACGGAACGAAACGGUCUGGGUUAAUACCCUGGGCUAAUGACGGUACCGUAAGAAUAAGCACCGGCUAACUACGUGCCAGCAGCCGCGGUAAAAC
rnacentral:rRNA from 1 species